UUUAGUUCCUGGUUCAUUGUAGGUUCUCAAUAAACGUUUGUUAGAAUGAGUUGAUCUCUUGGAUCCAGUGCCCCAGAAAGAUAUGUCAUUUCCACUGCUGCCCACUGAGGAGUGCCACUGGAGAUGAUCUCACAACAAAGAGAGGGGGAGAGGCUGCUCCUCCCGUCAGAAGAUGGAGACUGCUUCCUUGCCCUUCAAUCCAAGCUGGCUCAUGACUUGCUUCAAUGAAUAGGAAAUGGCAGAAGUGAUGCUCUGAGGCUUCUGGGCCUAGACUUUAAGAGGUGUUGCCCCUUUCCUUUUUCCCUCUUGGGAUCCAGCCUACCACAUAGAGAAGUUUGGGUUGACAACUAAAUGUGAGAGAGAGACAGACAGAGAGAAGAGGGAGAGCUGAUUCAGCUAGACCUUAGUCAUUCCAGCCAUCCUAGCUGAAGCACUAGCAUGUGAAAGAAGCCACCUUCUAACCUAUCAAUCAGAGCCCCCAAUUUUACUGACCUCAGUCAACACCAUGUGGAACAGAACUACCCCAGGGAGCCCAA
rnacentral:lncRNA from 1 species